rnacentral:lncRNA from 1 species
AAUCCCUUCAAGUAAAAAAAAUCUACAAACCCUAACCUACGCUUGGAUCUCUAAACCUUCCCCCAAAUUGGUUUCACAUUUUUACAGAUCUCAGAUUCAAAACAAACAAAAUUUGUUUGAGUCAUCCAGAUCUAACAAUCAAACCUAUGGUUGUUAACGGCCAUUGAAGAGGAUGAAACAUCGAGUAAACAAAGAUUUGUUUACGGACGGAGUUUGAACAGUGAGAACGGGACGUGGGAAUUUGGUUUCCGUUGAAGCGGUUCUGGUUUGACUUCGCGAUUUUCCGAUCAAAACAGGUUGACUUCGCGAUUUUCUCAUAACCCAACCCAGACACCCAUCGCUGCACCUCCAUACUCGCCACCGUUGUCGGCAUGGCCACCGCCACGUCUCCAUUUGCAGCCUCCAAAACGACACAUCAUAUCACCUUUUUUUUUUCUUCUUCUCCUUAGUAUAGAUCCAUUGUCGCCGAGGGGAUCGAAACCCUAUAUCUAUAUCACCUUCAAUCGCCGGAAACGACCAUCAUCGGUAAUCCUAAACACCGCUCGAAAACUGGUCUAGAUCGAGACAUGCAGACUCGCCGGCUGCCUCGUACUGGUCGGAAACGCAGCCGCCUCACUCCUUGAGGUCCACCGCUGCUGGGUCGUCGUUUUAAAGUAGUGGUUGCACCGGUGAAAAUGGGGGUAAACUCGAGACCCUGAGAAAAAUCUAUUAUACCAAUAUCAUCUAUUUUUGUGAUUUUUCUGCAAGGAAACCCUAAAUCAUCUAUAUAUAGAUAUAUGUUGGGUUUGGUGCCUGAUUGGAGGAGAUAUGACGGUUGAAUGUUGGUUUUUGUGACGAUUGGAGGAGAUACGACAGUUUCUUGAAUGUUUUGUGAUGUUUAGUAGAUGACUGCGGUUAUUUGACGGAAGGGAAGAUGACGGUUGCUUGAAUGUUUUGUGAUGAUUGGCAGUUAAUUUUUCAAACGGGUUGUGUAGCAUUUUUUGUAACUGUUGUUAAAUUUAAUUGAAACAAUGCGUC